UUCUCAGUUUAUGCUCUAUUUGUAUUAAUAUGAGACCUUUAUUAUUAUUGUUUUUUUAUUAUUUUUUUUUAUUUAAUUAAAGUUUCUAGGUUAUCUCAAGCUUUGGUUUCAUGUUUAGUCUCUAUUUAUUUUGUAUUUUAGUUUGAUCCAAAUCUUCUUUAAGAGUAGCAUCUAGAUUUUUGAGGGGUUUUGUUUGAUUCUUUGUUUGGUUGCAGACCCCAGCUACUUUUCCAAUGUCCUUCAGUAACCCACGGGAUUAUUUUCUGCUUUCUGUUAUGCACAGUUAAAGACCAAAUCUAUAUAGUUUAGAAGCUGUCUGCAAAUUCCAGCAAUAGCAAAGUGAAAAGGUAGAGCUGUGUUUUUCCUUCUUCUAUAUCUAUUUUUGAAGCAUAUUUCCUAAGUCUUUACUAUCAUCCAAGAUGAUAUAUUGAUUGUUGAAUCUAAUGGGCAAAUUGUGGGUUAUUUUUCUUUGCUAUGUUGCCAUAACAUAGAACAACGGGGUCUUUUGGGAUUAAGUGAAGCGCUUAUUAUUUAGCUUUUUGUUUUAUUCUAUUUCCGGGCUUGAGAAUACUAGAUACUUUGAAGAAGCUUUCUUGUCAGGGUUUUCAGAUUUUAGUUCUGCUGACUUCAAUUUUGUUUUCAUGGUAAGAGGAGUUAAUCUUGGUGAUUAAUUUUCCUUGCUAUUUAGUUGGAUUCUUCUUGGGGUGGGGGAAGGACAUUAUGGGUGGUUGGUUUUGAUGCCUUGCUAUUUUGCAUGGCUUUACUUAUAGUAAGGCCAGAUUGUAGAUUGUCCCAAAAUGCUAUUUUACAGAAUAUUUUGAUGUCAAAUAUAUUUUCACCAUUAACAAUAAAAGAAAAAAGUGAAGCGCUUAUUAUUUUAGACUCUAACGUGUCUUUUAAACUUCUCAAGUUGCAUAGUUCUUCUUCUUCCCCCAACCCCCCCAGCCCCCCAAGAAAAAAAAAAAACCAUUUAUUUCUUCUCCCUCUCUUUCUAUUUGUUCUCCUCCCUCUCACUACCUCUCUGUACUUUAUUUCCAAAGGUUAGAUCUCUUCUCUCAUUUUAUAAUUUAUUAAUCAAAUUAUACCCAUCUUUGACACAAUCCAAAAGGUACAAUGAACGGCCAAAAUUGAUUUAAACUUCUUAACCUCUUGCGAUUGCCGCAACAGUUGUUUUUAUUCUUCUUACACACGUAUAAGGAUAUUGGAGAGUAAGCGGUGGACAAACAAGAGUCAGAGUUGUUGUUCUUUCCAUCUCCUCAAUACUCAGUCUCCACUCCCAUUUGAGCCAACUCCUCCAAGAGGCCGAUAAAGGUAAUCGUAAAUGUGCACACAGAGAUGGAUGGAGAGAGAUUAAGAGAGGAAUUCUAGGACUGUCAAACUACUACCAUGUCAAAUCAUCACCCACCUUCAACCCUGCCUCUUGACACCUUCAUAUACUGCAAGAACCACUACCAAUACAGGGCUAUGGCUGCUACCGUGAUUUCAAAUAUCUCUAAUAGCAACCUCUGAGGACAACCAUCCAAAGGCAAGAUGGAAUGUGGGGUACCGCUGCAAGUGUUGCCUUGAAAAGAAAAGACUGCAGUUGAUUCAAAUGCUCCAACUAUUGCCUGCAGUGCACACAAGACUGAGACCGCUGCAAGUGUUGCCUUGAAAAGAAAAGACUGCAAUUGUUUCAAAUGCUCCAACUACUGCUUGCAGUGCACACAAGACUGAGACAGGGCUGAUGAAUAACUUUAUAUGUAAUAACAUUAUAACCUUAUUUCACAAAGAUCAAGGUCCUUAAUGUUUUUCUUUUAAUAUGUUUUUUUAUUUAUUUAAAUGGAUGUAGUUUAUUUAAAGAUAUGUAAAGCAUUCUUGUGUUUGCAUGUUGUGCUCCCUUUCUACUGUUUAUUAAUUGCACCAUAUAUGACUUUUCAAAUGAUACUCCUAAAUGUGAUUUUUAAAGCACAUUAAUGAUUACAAGAACAAGGAAUAAACAACUAGGAUUACCAGGAUUUUGUAAAUACACUGAAUAAUAGAAGGGAUUAUGUUAAAAAAAAUGAUAGAGACCUUAAAUUUCAUGAAAGAAAGGAUGCAAUUGAUAAUAGAUGUAGGAUGCCUACCAGUAGUUUGAGGUUGUUAACUAAAGGUACAAAUAAGUAAU